CAUCGUCCUUCUUCAGCUGCCGGGUCCAGUUAUGGCCUCGUGGGACUGAAGCUGACAUCUUGAGGAACCUAGAAUACCAGCCAGCACACACAAGGUUAAAGUACAGAAGAUAACAUCAGACACUUGGAAGGGAAUUCAAGUACAUGCAGGAUUGACACAUGGGAGGAACUGGAGUUCAGAGCAGCUGUGACACAAAGCAUAUGGAGGCUGGGCAAAGGACAAGUCUGUGGGGUACGAGGCCACUUAGUCAGCAGUAUCCAGAAGCAAGGUGUAUUCGCCCAGACUGUUCCCCGAGAUCAUCUGCUUCAGCACCCCACAGAAUACAGCAAGGAGGAAAGGCUCGAUAGCGGUGACUUUCACAUUUGCACGAAUGUUACCACGAUGGGCUGUAAGGAGCUAAAGGACUCCAAAUGCCUCUUCUCUGUCUCAUUAACAGGUGGCUACUGAGAGUUGUGUACCAACUACUAUGUCGAGAACAUGACCAGGUUCCUGUCCUCAUGGAGUUUGCAAUUUAGGCAGGUAACCAGGCGAUUGACAACAGUACGCACAGACAACUGGGAACACAGGGGCAGGAAUAAAGCCUCCAAGACUUUCUAGAGCAGCGUUCUCAACCUGUGGGUCGGGGCCCCUCUGGGAGGGGUUGCAUAUCAGACAUUAGCAUUAGGAUUCUUAAUAGUAGCAAAUUUACAGUUAUGAAGUCACAAUGAAAUAAUUUUAUGGUUGGGGGCCUUGUCAUGGCAGGAGGAACUGUAUUAAAGGGCCACAGCAUUAGGAAGGUUGAGAACCACUGUUCUAGAGAAAACGACUUCCAGGCUGAAAUUCAAGGAUGAAUAGGAGUUAGCCAGAUAUGGGAAGACUAUCUCUGGCUAGAGGGAGAAAGAGAGCAUUGAACACAUGGAAUCAAAAGUUUAGUGACUGGGCUAAAGGUGUCGUUUGGUAGUGAAGCAAAUAUCCAACGCGGGAGAGCCCACUGAACUGGAUCCACGGCACCACAAAACAAUAAAACACUUCAGUGCCUGGAGAAAACAGCUGAGCAGGAAAUGUUAGUAGUUUAAAACUACUACCGUGAGGACAAGGGGUAAGGCAUAUGGAGGCACAAUAAAAGGGAAGUGGCUUUGAAAUCCAUUGACUGGAAACCUGCCUCAAUGAGUGGAAUCACCAGCAAGUCACACACACACCACACACACACACACACGCUUUAGUAUUCAGUAGGUAGACUCAGUAAACGUUACUGCAGUCUACACCCAAAACAUGUUACCCUCGGUAUUUUUUUCAAUGAAAUGACUUCGACCCAUGCUCUGAGGUAAGGGCAGGCUACAUGGCUGACAGCUUGGCCUGCGCUUCUAGAACGACAGUGAAGGGAAAGCAGAGAAAUAAAGGCAUCCAGGUCCCUUGAAGCACCUUUCCCAGUUUCGGGCGCACUCCGGCGGUCCCCACGGAGCCGCUGGCGCAAGGAUGCGUGCGCAUUGCUCACCCGCGGAUACAGAAGCGCGUGUGCGCACGUUCCGCCUCAGACGCCCGGUUCCGCAGGCAGUGAGGACACUCCCGCUUCUCUCCGCACGAAGCGGACCUUCGCGGAAGCGCACACACGGAACCCUCUGCACAUCCUCAUUGGUGAACUCUCUGUAGAGCCCUCCCUCAGUGCUACUCUUCCGGGAAAGGGCGGAAGAGGCGGACAAAUGGGGGCGGGAUCACGGGGAGAUCCCUUUGAUGGUUCUGAGACUCGGUGCACACCCUCAGUGGACUCCAGGCCUGAAACUGGAGUAGAGGAGGCGUGUAGCCCAUCGUGCCUUUUCAUCAGCGAGAGCUAGCUUGGUCCCCGUGUCCGAAGUGGGUUACCAGCUGGAGGGCACAGGGCCCAGAAAAUAAAUUAAAAAACCGUG